UCCCUCUUAGCUCAGUGGUAGAGCGCGUCACUAGUAUUCAUCCAAAGUAAGAUCAAUCCAAUUCCAAAAGUACAUGACGAGGUCAGUCGUUCAAGUCGGCUAGAGGGAA